rnacentral:rRNA from 1 species
GAUGAACGCUAGCGACAGGCUUAACACAUGCAAGUCGAGGGGCAGCACGGGAGUAGCAAUACAACUGGUGGCGACCGGCGCACGGGUGAGUAACGCGUAUGCAACCUACCUAUCAGAGGGGAAUAACCCGGCGAAAGUCGGACUAAUACCGCAUAAAACAGGGGCACCGCAUGGUGAUAUUUGUUAAAGAGAUUCGCUGAUAGAUGGGCAUGCGGUCCAUUAGGUAGUUGGUGAGGUAACGGCUCACCAAGCCGACGAUGGAUAGGGGAACUGAGAGGUUGGUCCCCCACACUGGUACUGAGACACGGACCAGACUCCUACGGGAGGCAGCAGUGAGGAAUAUUGGUCAAUGGGCGGGAGCCUGAACCGGCCAAGUCGCGUGAAGGAAGAAGGAUCUAUGGUUCGUAAACUUCUUUUGCAGGGGAAUAAAGUGCAGGACGUGUCCUGUUUUGUAUGUACCCUGAGAAUAAGGAUCGGCUAACUCCGUGCCAGCCGCCGCAGUAA